UAAAGUUUAUAAAAUUAGGUAGUAAAGAAAUUUCUGAAACCUAAAGAAUUUGGCGGUAUUUUAAAUAAUUGGAGGAACCUGUUAUUUAAUUGACACUCCACAACAUAUCUUACCUAGAUUUUAUUUGUAUAUCGUCGUUUUGAUAAUACUUAAAAGUUAUAAUCAACAUUAAUAGAUUUUGAAAAAUCAGAUCAAGGUGCAGUAUAUUUAGGUUAUAAUGGGUUACAAUAUAAUAAUAUAUUAUGGAUAUAAAAUUAAAAACAUAUUGAAAGUGGAUUCAAAAGUAAUUUUAAAUUAAAAUAUUAACUUGAUUUAUAAUUUAAAAUAUGC
rnacentral:rRNA from 1 species